rnacentral:rRNA from 1 species
GUUAGGAAUAUUGGACAAUGGACGCAAGUCUGAUCCAGCCAUGCCGCGUGAGUGAUGAGGGCCUUCGGGUUGUAAAGCUCUUUAGCCGAUGAUUAUAAUGACUGUAGUCGGAAAAUAAGCCCCGGCUAACUUCGUGCCAGCAGCCGCGGUAAUACGAAGGGGGCGAGCGUUAUUCGGAAUCACUGGGCGUAAAGCGUGCGUAGGCGGUUUUGUAAGUUGGGAGUGAAAGCCCAGGGCUCAACCCUGGAAUUGAUCUCAAAACUACAAGACUUGAAGUCGGGAGAGGAUAGCGGAAUUGUCAGUGUAGCAGUGAAAUGCGUAGAUAUUGACAGGAACACCAGUGGCGUAAGCGGCUAUCUGGACCGACAUUGACGCUGAGGCACGAAAGCGUGGGGAUCAAACAGGAUUAGAAACCCUUGUAGUCC